rnacentral:rRNA from 1 species
AUACGGAGGGUCCGAGCGUUAUCCGGAAUCAUUGGGUUUAAAGGGUCCGUAGGCGGGAAUCUAAGUCAGUGGUGAAAUCUUGCAGCUCAACUGUAAAAUUGCCAUUGAUACUGGAUUUCUUGAAUUAGUGUGAAGGGGUUAGAAUGUGUAGUGUAGCGGUGAAAUGCAUAGAUAUUACACAGAAUACCAAUUGCGAAGGCAGAUCACUAACACUAUAUUGACGCUGAGGGACGAAAGCGUAGGGAGCGAACAGGAUUAGAAACCCGAGUAGUCC